ACACGUGGCUAAUCUGCCCUUGGGAUAGGAAUACCCCCGGGAAACUGGGGCUAAUUCCAAAUAGGUGAAGAACUCUGGAAUGAGUCUCCACCAGAAAAGAGCUUACGUUAUGCUCGUAAGUUUCGCCCAAGGAUGAGGCCGCGACCGAUCAGGUUGUUGGCGAGGUAAUGGCUCACCAAGCCUUUUACCGGUGCGGGCCGUGGGAGCGGGAGCCCGGAGAUGGGUACUGAGACAAGGACCCAGGCCCUACGGGGCGCAGCAGUCGCGAAAACUUUGCAAUAAGCGCAAGCUUGACAGGGCUAUCCCGAGUGCCAUCCGCUGAGGAAGGCUUUUACCCAGUCUAGAACGCUGGGGGAAUAAGGAGAGGGCAAGUCUGGUGUCAGCCGCCGCGGUAAUACCAGCUCUCCGAGUGGUGUGGAUGUUUAUUGGGCCUAAAGCAUCCGUAGCUGGCUAAGUUAGUCCCUUGUUAAAUCCACCGAAUUAAUCGUUGGAUUGCGGGGGAUACUGCUUGGCUAGGGGACGAGAGAGGCAGACGGUAUUUUCGGGGUAGGGGUGAAAUCCUAUAAUCCCGGGAAGACCACCAGUGGCGAAGGCUGUCUGCUAGAACGCGCCCGACGGUGAGGGAUGAAAGCUGGGGGAGCGAACCGGAUUAGAUA
rnacentral:rRNA from 1 species